CCUACGAAACCUAUGUAUGAAAUAAAAACCUGAACUUUAGUUUUUCCCUAAAUCCCCCGCCGCACUCCCUCUUCCCCGAGCCCUCUCCCUCUCUCACGAUUUUCUCUCUAUUCCAUCGACGAUCUCCCUUCUCUGUCGAGCCACGGCAGCCGGCUCUCCUCUUCGCGUGAGCACCGCGGCGCCGCCUCCUCUACCCUUGCCGAACCUCUUCUCCCUCACGCGAGCAACCGCCGACGUUCUUCUCCCUCACACGAGCACCAGUCAGAAAUCUCUCCCUCACGCGAGUACCAGCCAACGAAUAUUGAAGGGAUGGCCUUAGUGCGUGGGUGUUGUUUGAUUUUAGUUGUAGUUAUCCUCUAUGAGAAUAAUGGGUAAAGGUAACAUGAGAAGGUGAGGAAGAUACCACCUAGAACGGGACGGUGGACUCGGAGGCGGAGUAGCCGAGGAUGUGAGGUUGGAUGCAUCACGCUGUCUAGGGGCUCUAGGUGUCAGUUAUUAGUCAUUUCCUAUGAUUGUUAUGGUAGUAUGGGAUGAAGACUACUUGUUAGCUUGCUUCGGUAGGAGGUCACAAAUGUUUCUUUAAAGACGUGUGUUUUUUUUCUUUGACGUUUUAUAUGAUUGUAGAAAAAAAAAUAAUUUGGACAAAUGUGUGAUGCAAUGAUGUUUCCUUUAAAUGUGAAGUUUAUGUUUUAGUUCUUACCAAA